UGGUGGGCCUGCCUCUCCCCAGUGCGGGGAGGUGUGCACCAUCAUGCUUGGCUUUGUAACUUUCUUGUAGUUGUACUUAUAGACAAUUAUGCACUGCAGCGGGAUCAUAGUCAUGUAUGAUUUGAUGGCUAUGGCACAUGCACACCUGAUCUUGCCAAAUACAAUUUAUACAGGUCCCUUGAUAGUAAUUUUCAGUAAUUUGUCCACUUUUCAUAAGAAAGGGAGGGGUAGGCCCACUCAGUUAUUUUGCCCAACUUGAAAGCAGUGGAAGAAUAAGAAAAAGAAAUGGUUGAAAACCAAGAUUAAACAACAGAGUGAGUGUGUUGCACACCUUUGCAAAUGCCUUGCAAGUGACAAGUGCAAAUUAAUUUCUCUCAGCAGAUGUUUGGGUGAUAAAAAUACCUAUUUACGUUUUCCAGGUCCCACUCAGCUGCGGGCUCGCUGCAGCCGUAGCAGGAAGCAACGGGAUCCAGUGAACAGGGAGAGCAGUGACUGGGACUAGACAGGGCUGAGGCAGUUGCUUUGGGGAGCCAAGUUUCCAGGGAAACUGCAAGCAGGAGCAGACGACACUGGGCUCUGCAGGAGGAGGCUGGAGGGUGCAGCUCUUUCUGCUGAAGGUUGCUGUACAAUGGCCAGUGUCCCUAACAGCCUGAAGUGCCUUUGGAGGACUGGUCACUUUGGGGUUUCCUUUGGCAUUCAGGAAACAGGAACCCCCAAACUGGGGUGGGGUGAAGAAGGGACAGUUUGGGGUGAAGAAGGGACAGUUUGGGGUGAAAUAAUUCUCCCCGGUGGAGCUUGCUGAACCGUGCUUGUAUCCGUGGCAGCGAUGUGCUGCUGUCAACUACGGAGCUCCAGGUACCCCUGCCAGCCGUGCUUCCGGGGUAGACCAGAGCUGCCCGUCUGAGAGGGGCAGCUGGCAACAGGGACGGACCUGCUGCAGAACCUGAGGAUCAGGGCUCUACUGGGAACCCUCGCUCCUCUACGCUGUCUGGGUCAGUCUGUGCCUCGGCUGCCCCACAGGAUUGUCGGGAGGACGGAAGGAGUCCAUGAGGAUUCGAAGUGUUGAGAAUUCAACGUAAAUAAGCUUUCUUUCUAACAAACAUUAUGACAAUCCAAAAGAUAAAUAAAGGGGCCAGGUCCAGGCAGACAGUCAGUCAGACAGACAAGACAGACAGGCAGACAGACCAGGCAGACAGUCAGACAAAACAGACAGGCAGACAGACAGACAAGACAGACAGACACGCACGCACGCGCACGCUUCCUUAUCUCUCACAGCCAAUGGGCAACCUCGAUACAAGGGGUGGCAGUUCUUGCAAAUAGUUUAACUUCGGUUAGCAACCUGGAGGGAAAGGUGGCGUCUCUUUUCUGGUAUCCAUAGAGACAAUGCCAAGGAGAAGGAUCUGAUUGGCCAGCUCUGGGUUGCAUGCCCACCACUGUGAGGGCAGAAGGGUUUCAUGAUUGGCUGUUGCCCUGGAGUCAUUUAGAUGGAGUAAGGAAAUUCCUCAAAGGAAAGAGUAUGUGAAUGCUAUCACAGAAUAGGUAUUUGAGAGUGGAGUGAGGCUGGAGGUGAAGAGAAGGACGGGGCCACAGUGCCGGGAGCGUAGGCGCAGGAGAGUCAGCAGUGGGCAGGAGGCCCUUUUGUGCGGUGACGUUUACAGCAGAGACCGGAUGUGGGACCUAGAUCUGAGUCUGACGCCGCGAACACUCAUUUUCCUGUAAUUGAUCAUCAUUAAACCUCUGAGCCCUGUCUGUGCCUCAGUUGUCUCGUCUGCAGAAAAGAGUCAAUCAUAACUGACAGGGUUGUUGUCGGAAUAGAGCAAAGACUCACCAGUGCACCUUGUCACAUCAGUGCACCCUGUCACCGUCAGUGCACCUUGUCACCAUCAGUGCACCCUGUCACCGUCAGUGCACCUUGUCACCAUCAGUGCACCUUUUCACCAUCAGUGCACCCUGUCACCGUCAGUGCACCUUGUCAUCAUCAGUGCACCUUGUCACCGUCAGUGCACCCUGUCACCGUCAGUGCACCUUGUCACCAUCAGUGCACCUUGUCAUCAGUACACCUUUUCACCAUCAGUGCACCCUGUCACCAUCAGUGCACCUUGUCACCAUCAGUGCACCUUGUCAUCAUCAGUGCACCUUGUCAUCAGUGCACCUUGUCACCAUCAGUGCACCCUGUCACCAUCAGUGCACCUUGUCACCAGUGCCCCUUGCCACGACUCCCAACUGGCUGCGGAUACAACGUUUCUGUCUCUGACUGAAGUUUGACAGCUGAGUUAAUCCACGGGUUUUAACUGGGAAUGGAUGUGUUUACACAGAGGCACCGGGAGUGACUUAGAGUGCUGGGAGGGUGGAGCAGGUGCAGCCGUGUGGGCACAACUGGCUGAGCACGGGAGGGUUGAAGCGGGAUGCUGGGCACAGGUGGGGCUCCUGUGGUUCUUACACUAAUUUGCCUGUUUCUAUACCAGCGCCCCUCAGUUUGCAUGGCUUUAGAAUGCACGGAUUCUGUCCCCGUGGUGUAGUUAACACUGACACGGUCUGGGUCACCCUUUCAGCCUCUGUAGCACGUCAGCGUGAGCAACUGACUGCACCAGGAACAAGUGGCUCCUGUGUGUACAGGUCACUGGUGAAUACCAGAUACACACCACUGUCAGCGGCAGCCACAUCACCUCUCACACCGUCCGUUAGUUCACACCCAGCAAACCUGCUUAGUCUCCUCAAGAUGAAUCCACGAGACAUUUGACAGGAACAGAUAACCUAGAAGGGGGAAUCAGUGUGAAAACGACAGCGUGCUGAAGCCAGGAAAAGUGUGACCUUGGGCAUGAAAUUAGCCAGGCAUAAAUGGCUGUGGGAAUGCAGGGUUCCCCUCGGCUGAGACUCCCCUCUGAGCUUAGGAGCUCAGGGGAGGCAACACACUGACCUAACAGGGAAAGCAGUUUUGUUCCCAGAGAAAGGACAGCAAAGUGAAACCUCACACCACAGGCCUCCCUGGUGAUCAUUCACAGUGCCCCAAGUGCAAGGAUGAGACGUUUCCAAACUCAGGAGUGUGAGGAUGGAAAAACUCUCUCCCUGGGUCACUAACAGGACCGCACUGUUCUAACUGCUUUGGAGGAGUUUUUGUUUGUAUUUUGUAUGUUUUAAACUAUAAGGAAUUAAGUUAGUACUCGCUUUGGAGCUGUCGGUUUUUGUCCCCUAUAUAUUUACAACCAGCUCUAAAGAAUGCUUGCUCUUUGUUUGUUUGUUUUUUGUUUUUAUUUGUUUGUUUUUUUGAGACAAGGUUUCUCUGUGUAGUUUUGGUGCCUGUCCUGGAUCUUGCUCUGUAGACCAGGCUGGCCUCAAACUCACAGAGAUCCGCCUGGCUCUGCCUCCCAAGUGCUGGGAUUAAAGGCAUGAGCCACCGCCGCCCAGCAAGAAUGCUUACUUUUUGGGCAAAAAGAAAAAUGAAGGGUUAAAAAGCGGUGUGUCCUAUGGAUCGCGGCUAUGGAUCAUAUUUUUGGUUUUAGCAUGGCUGGCUCCAGCCAUCUUUACAAUGUUGUUCUCCCGUGGAAAGUGAAGACUCCCAUCAUUGAAAUUCUCAAUACUAGUGUUUUUUUUUUCCUAUGUUCCAUUCAACCCUUUGCCUACAAGAAUCACCUAAGAAAGACAAUCAUUGAAUCCUGUGCAGAGUGAAGAGUUAGCAGUUAGUGCCUGCUGUACACUCAGCAGGUGAAUGACAGAGACAGACAUUGAAUGAACAUGAGCUACUCUGUUCGGAACCAUACGGAGGCAGAACAGAGAGGGAGUCAGAGCGUGGUUUGUAUGCGUCCUUCCGAUGCUGCCCUGAGCACAGGCCAGCUCUCUGCUGUGCAGGUCACGUUUGCUUGGUGCCCCCACUACCUGAAAGAAAUGCGUGUGUGUAUGUCAGUUUAGUUUUUCCCGUUAGCACUCCUGACUCCCUGUAGUGUUAAAUAAAUUUUAAAUUUUUUCAUUGGAAA